UACGAAGGGGGCUAGCGUUGCUCGGAAUCACUGGGCGUAAAGGGUGCGUAGGCGGGGCUUUAAGUCAGGGGUGAAAUCCUGGAGCUCAACUCCAGAACUGCCUUUGAUACUGAAGAUCUUGAGUUCGGGAGAGGUGAGUGGAACUGCGAGUGUAGAGGUGAAAUUCGUAGAUAUUGGGAAGAACACCAGUGGCGAAGGCGGCUCACUGGCCCGUAACUGACGCUGAGGUGCGAAAGCGUGGGGAGCAAACAGG
rnacentral:rRNA from 1 species